rnacentral:rRNA from 1 species
AAUAUUGGACAAUGGGCGAAAGCCUGAUCCAGCCAUGCCGCGUGUGUGAAUAAGGUCUUCGGAUUGUAAAGCACUUUAAGUUGGGAUGAAGGGGUUGAAGCUAAUACAUACAAUCUUUGACUUUACCAACAGAAUGAGCACCGGCUAACUCUUUUCCAUCAUCCGCGUUAAUACAGAGGGUGCAAGCUUAAAUCGGAAUUACUGGGCGUAAAGAGCGCGUAGGUGGUUCAGUAAGAUGGAAGUGAUAUACCCGGGCUUAACAUGGGAACAGCUUUCAUAACUGCUGAGCUAGAGUACGGUAGAGGGUAGUGGAAUUUCCUGUGUAGCGGUGCAAUGCGUAGAUAUAGGAAGGAACACAAGUGGCGAAGGAGACUACCUGGACUGAUACUGACACUGAGGUGCGAAAGCGUGGGGAGCAAACAGG